rnacentral:rRNA from 1 species
GAUGAACGCUAGCGGCAGGCCUAAUACAUGCAAGUCGAACGGGAUCCAGAUCAAAGCUUGCUUUGGUCUGGUGAGAGUGGCGCACGGGUGCGUAACGCGUGAGCAACCUACCCUUGUCAGGGGGAUAGCCCGGCGAAAGUCGGAUUAAUACCGCAUGACAUCAUUGAGAGGCAUCUUUCGAUGAUCAAAGAUUUAUCGGACAAGGAUGGGCUCGCGUGACAUUAGCUAGUUGGUAAGGUAACGGCUUACCAAGGCUGCGAUGUCUAGGGGCUCUGAGAGGAGAAUCCCCCACACUGGUACUGAGACACGGACCAGACUCCUACGGGAGGCAGCAGUAAGGAAUAGUGGUCAAUGGACGGAAGUCUGAACCAGCCAUGCCGCGUGCAGGAGGACGGCCCUAUGGGUUGUAAACUGCUUUUAUACGGGAACAAACGUCGGUACGUGUACCGGUCUGAGUGUACCGUAAGAAUAAGGAUCGGCUAACUCCGUG